UACGGAGGGGGGCAAGCGUUGUCCGGACUCACUGGGCGUAAAGGGUGCGUAGGUGGCUUGCCACGUCGGUGCUGAAAGCGCCCGGCUUAACCGGGCGAGGCGUGCCGAUACGAGCGAGCUCGAGCCUCGGAGAGGGCGGUGGAACUCCUGGUGUAGUGGUGAAAUGCGUAGAGAUCGGGAGGAAGGCCGGUGGCGAAGGCGGCGCUCUGGAACGUUUCUGACACUGAGGCUCGAAAGCGUGGGAGCAAACAGG
rnacentral:rRNA from 1 species